CACCUCAUUAAUCUAUUUUAAACGUUAAGUAGAGUGGUGAAACAUAUUGUGUAAAACAUGUUUCACCCAAAAAACAAGGUAGGCGUAGAUCGAACAAGACCAAAACUGGUUCUCAAUGCUUUCUACUAUUAUUUCAAAUAAUAGUUUUUGGUUGGACAGAUAAAUAGAUUGAAAAUUUCACAAUUUAAAGUGAAAAUGAAGAAAAUCCAUUUCACAGUUUACCUACGGCUUAUCCAGGUAACUGGAUUUUCUGCCCACUGAAUGUGAUACAAAUAUAUGACAAAAUAAGACGAGAAAACUGGCAGCAUUUUUACACAAUAUGAUUGAAAUUUAUUCCACAAAUCCACGCAAUCUUCAUCCUCCACGAUAAAAGUGAAACACAAGAACGCAUAACUAUUUUAUCGAGAUAAAUAAAAUGCGACACAUUUAUACGUACAUAGCACCUACCUCCUCAAAAUCUUCCCAGCAUGAUGUAAAUCACGAGUGAAACAACGUAAUGGAGUCACGUCAAAAUGACAUCGCAUCGCAGCGGCUGGCUGUGGCAUUUUGGUUGAUUUAUGUCAAGAUUCUCAUCUUGGAACUUCUUGAGUACGUGUCAAGAUGGAAAUUCGUGAAAAUGCGUGGAACGGAAAGACAAGCACAUACAUAUUCUAUUUAAAACUAAGUGAACUUUAUUCAAAAUGUACACAGUCGCAAUAUUCAUAAUAAUGGAAUAAUAUAUUAUAAUGAGAUGGAGGAAACCGUCGUUAAUAAUUGUGCCAAUUUAGUGAAAUUCAGAAAAUUGGA